GGGGAAUAUUGCACAAUGGGGGGAACCCUGAUGCAGCGACGCCGCGUGAGUGAAGAAGUAAUUCGUUACGUAAAGCUCUAUCAGCAGGGAAGAAAAUGACGGUACCUGAGUAAGAAGCCCCGGCUAACUAC
rnacentral:rRNA from 1 species